GGAAUGAUUCCACUGAGCAUUAAAAAUGAAACUCCAAAUGCAUACAUCUCCACCAAGAAAAUCACCGCAACACAGUGUGGCAGUCACUGUAAAGCUCUGGUAUUUUGACAGUGGACCAAUAAUGGAAGUGAUGGAAGCAGGGGGACUGGAUCCAGGGUCUCCCACCUCCAAGGUGGGGGUCCUACCUGCUGAUCCACAGAAUCUCUGGCCCAACUACAAAAUCACUGUAGCUGCCUGAUUGACAGAGGGAUUGGCAUGCAGCCUGGACACUGAAGAUUUUGGGGGAGGGAGAUGUGAGCACUGCACUGAAUUCCACCAUUCGGUGUCAGACACUGAGCCAGUCUAAGUUAGUGUAGCUGAAGAACUGGCUCCUGAUUUCUACUGCUACCAAGUUGAUGACCAGACUGCUCCCUCUCACCAACAGAAGU